GUCUUCUGUGUGGAUGAUGGACAGUAGGGCAGCGGGGCAAGAGGAGGAGACAGAGCCAGGUGGUGCUGUGUGGGAGUCAAGCUGGGAAGAUGGACAGAAAUGAAUGGAUAUGAGGUGGCUUUGGUGGUCUCACCUUCAGGACCCUCUGUCAACAUUCAGCUAAAAAUCGCUGGUAUCCUAUAAUAAACAUGACAUUGUGCUGGGAUUCUGGAAACCAGGCUGGGGGCAAAGAAACAUGAUAUGAAGACCCCAUCCAGAAGAAGUUACACAUCUAGGACAGGCAGCUAGGUGAGUAACUUCUUCUGAGAGCACAUCCACACUUAAAAAGUAAAACAAUAGUAAAUAAUUGUGGCCAAUAUCAAUAUUGAAGGCUGAUUGCAUGCCAGGUACCUGCCAAGGGCAUUAGCUCUUGUGGUCCUCCUGAUAACCUGUUGAGGUGAGUACUACUAUGAUUCUCAUGUUGAGAUCAAGAGGCUGAGGCUGGGGAGGUGGGGACCUUUGCAGGGCGACAUAGCCUGUGACCUUUUUAAAUGCAGGUUGGCAUGAUCCUGAAGCCUGUAUGCCGCUCGGCUCUGGCACAUCAACCAGGAUAAACUGAGGCUCCUAAUAGUAUGGGCAUAUCCUGCAUGCUGCUCCACUUCUGGGGCCACUCUGCCUUUUGCUCGCUCUUAACUUUUCUUCCACACACACCACACAUACAUGUGCACACACACACAUCUUGAUCCAUAAUCCCAUCCUGACCCCUAUCCUUUGGAUCCUAAUGACAUUUUGACAUUGAAUAAAAAUUAUGCAAAAUUAUUGCCUGCUCAUUGAGAGAGCAAUUUCAGGAACAAACACCAAUAACCCCAAUAAAUUCCAAUAAACUCAACAUAAUAAUUAGCCUUAAUAAAUA
rnacentral:lncRNA from 10 species